rnacentral:rRNA from 1 species
AUGAACGCUGACAGACUGCUUAACACAUGCAAGUCUACUUGAUCCUUCGGGUGAUGGUGGCGGACGGGUGAGUAACGCGUAAAGAACUUGCCCUGCAGUCUGGGACAACAUUUGGAAACGAAUGCUAAUACCGGAUAUUAUGUGAGUUUCGCAUGAAAUUCAUAUGAAAGCUAUAUGCGCUGCAGGAGAGCUUUGCGUCCUAUUAGCUAGUUGGUGAGGUAACGGCUCACCAAGGCGAUGAUAGGUAGCCGGCCUGAGAGGGUGAACGGCCACAAGGGGACUGAGACACGGCCCUUACUCCUACGGGAGGCAGCAGUGGGGAAUAUUGGACAAUGGACCAAAAGUCUGAUCCAGCAAUUCUGUGUGCACGAUGAAGUUUUUCGGAAUGUAAAGUGCUUUCAGUUGGGACGAAGUAAGUGACGGUACCAACAGAAGAAGCGACGGCUAAAUACGUGCCAGCAGCCGCGGUAAUACGUAUGUCGCAAGCGUUAUCCGGAUUUAUUGGGCGUAAAGCGCGUCUAGGCGGUUUGGUAAGUCUGAUGUGAAAAUGCGGGGCUCAACUCCGUAUUGCGUUGGAAACUGCCAAACUAGAGUACUGGAGAGGUGGGCGGAACUACAAGUGUAGAGGUGAAAUUCGUAGAUAUUUGUAGGAAUGCCGAUGGGGAAGCCAGCCCACUGGACAGAUACUGACGCUAAAGCGCGAAAGCGUGGGUAGCAAACAGG